UACAGAGGUCUCAACCGUUGUUCGGAUUCAUUGGGCGUAAAGGGUGCGUAGGCGGUCGCGCAAGUCGGAUGUGAAAUCUUAGGGCUCAACCCUGAAACUGCAUUCGAUACUGCGUGGCUCGAGUACUGGAGAGGAGACUGGAAUUUACGGUGUAGCAGUGAAAUGCGUAGAUAUCGUAAGGAAGACCAGUGGCGAAGGCGAGUCUCUGGACAGUUACUGACGCUGAGGCACGAAGGCCAGGGGGAGCAAACGGG
rnacentral:rRNA from 1 species